ensembl:lncRNA
AUUUGAUUUAGUGCUUCUUUCAAGGGUUCAUUUUAACACUCACAUGCAUAUGUAUAUUUUUUCUAAAGUGGGCUGUAAAACUGAUAUUCUUGAGGUCAACAAUUUGAGUUUAAUAAGAUAGAGCACUGUAAAAGAAAGGCGCUUAACUGAAAUAGUCUUUAUUUUCUUGCUAUGUUUUAGGUCCCAUAUCCCAGUAACUCAAGUCUGCUCAGUUUCAUCUUAUUAAAAAAUUAGGGAAAAAAGAAAAGGCAGCAUGAAAAAGACCUCCUUUGCUUGGGAAGCGGAGUACUUCCAGUGGAGGGAAGAUCCGUAAAGUAGGAUAGCUAUAACAGCAUCGGUGAGAUGGUUUUGGCAGAAGACAUAGUCUCAGCACCGUGUGCUUUUGAAAGCAGCUGCCCCGAUCUCUCAAAUGUCAGCGAGGACAGAUGCUUCCCUCUGCACACACUGUCUGACAGGCGCUGGUCAGACCUGAGUCGGCUCUUGAAUCUACGUGUGAUCCCUCAAGACACUUUUAAACCCACAGGAAGCAGGACAAUUGUUUGGGGACUAAUUUUUGUGAGCUGGAUGGAUGAAAGAAGAUUUCUGUGGUGCCAGUUCCCUCUCUUCUGGCUUAGGGGAGAGGAUGUGCAGGGGGAUGUCCCUUCCCUGGGAUGCUCAGGAUGUGUUGGAGAGCGUGGGGCACAACGUCUGAAGCUGGCUUAGAGCAUUUCUGAGCAAAACGUCUUCCUUUGCCAAGUCAGCCUCUGCAUGUGGAGGAAUGGAAGCCACCAAUGGCCCCGAGUUGCAGUUCGGCUGUGGCAGACUCAACUGUGGGACUGAAGCCUUGCUGCAGCCUGUCCCUCCACCAGCCCAUCUCACAGCAGACAGCCCCUGAGGGCAUCUGUAACAGAUGGACGGUGGCUAAGCAGCAGCCUUGUUGGAAUUCAGUUAAAAAUCAGUACCAGUUUGUAGAAAAUCUUUGUAGAAAAUGUAGAAAAUAGGAAACUUUCAACCUUUUCUCAGUCUGUCACAGUUUUUAUUCAUUUGAGCCAGGGAAGAGGAAUUUUAGUUCUGCCUCCUGAUGAAUCUGCCAGUGUGGUUCCCACUAUUUUCUCUCCUUGAUAGAGGCAAUUGGCGUGUUGCUUUCUACCCUAGGAAGCCUCAACUGCCACAAAAGGCCACAGUCUGAUGGGAUGUCAAACUGCAUAGCACUUGUUAAGCUCCCAUGGCUGGCAGCAUCUGUGCAUUUGCAAUGACAACUCUAAAUCCAUCCAGGAUACAAAAGUACUCUAAAAUUGUAGCCUUUGUGUGUGUGUGUGCGCUGCAUGUUUUAUUUAUAAAGCUUUUAGAGAUAGCAGUUUGUUCUCUAAUUUAUUUUGGGUUGGUGAGGAGGAGGAAAUCUCCUUGGCAAGAUAGGGAAUUUGCAAUCUGAAUGUAAAAGGAAUAUGAAAAAAAGAGGAAUAACAAUUAAAAAAAGUCCAGAAUUCUGGGACAUGUUUGCAUGAAUAAUAAUGCUUCCAAAAUGAUAAUGGAUUGUGUGUCAUCCAUUUGUGGAACUGUAGAAGCUGCUAUGAUAAAUAAAACGAUACGUCAAAUUUGAAACAGCAUGGGGCCUGCAUGUGUCACUCAUCAGGUACAAUUAAAUAAGAAUAAUUGGCUGCCUGCUAAGUGAGAAGCUGCACUAUGAUGGUGCCAUUCUCAGCUUUCAAUUGCAUGAGGGACAGUUGCUCUGGACAUCCAUUUCAGGGCUGGCCCAUGCUUGAUGGGGGGAUUGUGAGACUGAACGUGUGUGGAUGUUUGCCAAACCCUGUGGGGAAUCGAAGCUCAGCUCUCUGGUUCAGUGUUCUAAACUUCCAUUAUGUUUUUGUAGGGGCUUGACCACGACUGGCACUGCUGGUUACUUUUCUCCCCGCGGGGUGCACAGAGUCCUUGCAGCAGCACAGCUGCAAUUGCUUCUCAGCCUCAAAACCACUUCAUAGCAGAAGUGUGUGUUGAGUCUCUCCAGCCUGCCCGUGGCUCUUGGAGGAUGUCUGAGUUCAGCAGAGGAAGAAGCUCUCACAGGCAAAACUGCUGGGAAUGCAGCAGAACUUCUUGUUAUUCAGCUCUGGCCCGU